AGAGUUUGAUCCUGGCUCAGGACGAACGCUGGCGGCGUGCUUAACACAUGCAAGUCGAACGGUGAACCCCUUCGGGGGGGAUCAGUGGCGAACGGGUGAGUAACACGUGAGCAACCUGCCCCUGACUCUGGGAUAACCCCGGGAAACCGGAGCUAAUACCGGAUAUGACACCUUCGGGCAUCCGAUGGGUGUGGAAAGAUUUAUCGGUUGGGGAUGGGCUCGCGGCCUAUCAGCUUGUUGGUGGGGUAACGGCUCACCAAGGCUUCGACGGGUAGCCGGCCUGAGAGGGCGACCGGCCACACUGGGACUGAGAUACGGCCCAGACUCCUACGGGAGGCAGCAGUAGGGAAUCUUCCGCAAUGGACGAAAGUCUGACGGAGCAACACCGCGUGAGUGAUGAAGGUUUUCGGAUCGUAAAGCUCUGUUGCCAGGGAAGAACGCUUACGAGAGUAACUGCUCGUAAGGUGACGGUACCUGAGAAGAAAGCCCCGGCUAACUACGUGCCAGCAGCCGCGGUAAUAUAGCU
rnacentral:rRNA from 1 species